UCCUAAAAUUGAAAAAACUUUAAAGCUACAAGAAACUAAAAAAUGGGUGAUGAUCCUGAGAAAAAAAUUAAAUUAACCCCCUCGGCAGACAUCGAAAAGCUUAGACCCGGUAUAGCUUGUCAAUUGAUCGGUUUUGUUGACGCUAUUGAGUCCGAAAGACGUUAUCCGGGGAAACGCGUAUUUAAAUUUAUCCUAAACAAUGGAGAUGGAUUACGUGUACAAGUGAAUUGCUGGGGUGAUGAAAUUAAACGCUCAAAAAAGGAAGUAUUGAUGGAUCAUGUUAUCUAUUUAGAGAAUGCCUGGUGCGUUAAUAAUUCAAAUUACAAUAAAUCAAAUUUCCACGGAGCGAAAAUUCCUAUUGGAACAUACACCAAUAUUGAAAACUUAGGCUAGUACAAUCAAGAGACGUGCGAAAUGACACCUUCUGAACCAACUGUUCUUAAUGAAAUUCCAUUAGAUACGCUUGGAAACGCAUUUUUGCCUUAGAAAUUUAAAACUUCUGGUUUUGUAAAAACAAAAAUGGAAAAAAUUAACUCUUCAGAUGAGACGUUCAUUAAAGGAUUUUUUACUAUCACUGAUGGUACUUUCAAGAUGGGUGUAACCGUUAAUGAAUAUAAAGAUGAUCAUGACUAUGAACGUGGAGAUCAUCUACUUUUGACAGGAUCAAUUCUUCAUUUAAAAAAUGAAGAGUUUUCAUUUGUAGUCGAUGGAAUGGCUGACAUCCAAAUAAAAGAUCAAGAGAAAAAAACUUUGAGUUGGUUACUCCAAGGAAACAAGCGUAUUAUUCUCCAAAAUUCCCACAAAAAGCCCAGAUACGAUUGAUUUCAAUUAAUUAUUAUUAUUUUUUUUUUAUUUAAUCUUGUCUAUGUUUAAAAAAUGA